GACGAACGCUGGCGGCGUGCUUAACACAUGCAAGUCGAGCGGAAAGGCCCUUCGGGGUACUCGAGCGGCGAACGGGUGAGUAACACGUUAGUAACCUGCCCCAGACUUUGGGAUAACCCUCGGAAACGGGGGCUAAUACCGGAUACGACACAGCUUCGCAGAGGGUCUUUGUGGAAAGUUUUGCGGUUUGGGAUAGGCUCGCUGCCUAUCAGCUUGUUGGUGGGUUGAUGGCCUACCAAGGCGACGACGGGUAGCCGGCCUGAGAGGGCGACCGGCGACACUAGGCCUAAGACACGGCCCAGAAUCCUACGGGAGGCAGCAGUGGGGAAUAUUGCACAAUGGGCGGAAGCCUGAUGCAGCGACGCCGCGUGAGGGAUGACGGCCUUCGGGUUGUAAACCUCUUUCAGCAGGGACGAAGCGUAAGUGACGGUACCUGCAGAAGAAGCGCCGGCCAACUACGUG
rnacentral:rRNA from 1 species